UACGUAGGGCGCAAGCGUUAUCCGGAAUUAUUGGGCGUAAAGAGCUCGUAGGCGGUUUGUCGCGUCUGCUGUGAAAGACCGGGGCUCAACUCCGGUUCUGCAGUGGGUACGGGCAGACUAGAGUGAUGUAGGGGAGACUGGAAUUCCUGGUGUAGCGGUGAAAUGCGCAGAUAUCAGGAGGAACACCGAUGGCGAAGGCAGGUCUCUGGGCAUUAACUGACGCUCAUGCACGAAAGCGUGGGGAGCAAACAGG
rnacentral:rRNA from 1 species